CUGAUUGGCGGGAUCCCU
rnacentral:snRNA from 1 species